rnacentral:rRNA from 1 species
AAUAUUUCACAAUGGAGGGAACUCUGAUGCAGCGACGCCGCGUGAGUGAUGAAAGNUUNNGAGUCNUNAAACUCUGUCCUUGGNNNNNAUAAUGACGGUCACCAAGGCGGAAGCCUCCGCUAACUACGUGCCAGCAGCCGCGGUAAUACGUAGGGGGCGAGCGUUGUCCGGAAUUAUUGGGUGUAAAGGGUUCGCAGGCGGCCGAUUAAGUCAGAUGUGAAAUCCCACGGCUUAACCGUGGUAAGCAUUUGAAACUGAUUGGCUUGAGUUAAGGAGAGGAAAGUGGAAUUCCUAGUGUAGCGGUGAAAUGCGUAGAUAUUAGGAGGAACACCAGUGGCGAAGGCGACUUUCUGGACUGUAACUGACGCUGAGGUACGAAAGCGUGGGUAGCGAACA